UGAAUAAGAUAAAAGAGAAAGAAAAAAGAAAAAAAAGAAAAAUCAAACGGCAGAGUUGCAUGCGAUGAGUAUGAAUGUGUCGUAUUUGUUCUUUUUU
rnacentral:ribozyme from 1 species